GGCAGGAAAGUGAUGACGGAAUAAACCCAGACAACGGAUCGAAAGACCUGCAGCAGGAGAGGAGACAUGUCCUCCUUCAACUUCAUCCUGAGAGGAACGAGAGAUCAGACGAUGAGAAGACAAAAAGAUAAAAAUUCCCUCAUUGGUGGCCUCAUUAGUGAUUCCUUUGCAGAAUCAUGGGAUCAUUGUGCGGCUGGCAGACAGUGAACGCCAUGAGCUCAGACGACAAACAAGACAGACUUUGUCGCUCUGGAAGGAUGAAGCUCACACUAAAACAGUGUUCUGUUUGAGAGGAGGAUGUGUUUAUGAAUGCAUGUGUGUGCUGAGGGGAAGACAUGGAGGGUGAACAAUAUACAUGAAAUACAAACUGAGAUAUUUGGCCAAUUUUGGAAAUCCCAAAAUAAAGAUCGACCUGAUAAACCAGCGGCCUAUAUGAUAGAAUAAGCAGAAAUCUUAAAUUAUUCG